rnacentral:rRNA from 1 species
CACGUGUAGCAGUGAAAUGCGUAGAGAUGUGGAGGAACACCGAUGGCGAAGGCAGCCCCCUGGGAUAACACUGACGCUCAUGCACGAAAAGCGUGGGGAGCAAACAGGAUUAGAUACCAUGGUAGUCCACGCCCUAAACGAUGUCAACUGGUUGUUGGAAGGGUAACCUUUUAGUAACGAAGCUAACGCGUGAAGUUGACCGCCUGGGGAGUACGGUCGCAAGAUUAAAACUCAAAGGAAUUGACGGGGACCCGCACAAGCGGUGGAUGAUGUGGUUUAAUUCGAUGCAACGCGAAAAACCUUACCUACACUUGACAUGCCAGAAAUCCUGCAGAGAUGUGGGAGUGCCGCAAGGAAUCUGGGCACAGGUGCUGCAUGGCUGUCGUCAGCUCGUGUCGUGAGAUGUUGGGUUAAGUCCCGCAACGAGCGCAACCCUUGUCACAAGUUGCUACAUUUAGUUGGGCACUCUAGUGAGACUGCCGGUGACAAACCGGAGGAAGGUGGGGAUGACGUCAAGUCCUCAUGGCCCUUAUGUGUAGGGCUACACACGUCAUACAACGGUCGGUACAGAGGGUUGCCAACCCGCGAGGGGGAGCUAAUCUCACAAAGCCGAUCGUAGUCCGGAUCGCAGUCUGCAACUCGACUGCGUGAAGUCGGAAUCGCUAGUAAUCGUGGAUCAGCAUGUCACGGUGAAUACGUUCCCGGGUCUUGUACACACCGCCCAUCACACCAUGGGAGUGGAAUCCGCCAGAAGUAGUUAGCCUAACCGCAAGGAGGGCGAUUACCACGGUAGGUUUCAUGACUGGGGUG